rnacentral:rRNA from 1 species
GACGAACGCUGGCGGCGUGCCUAAUACAUGCAAGUCGAGCGGAUGGAAGGAAGCUUGCUUCCUAAAGUCAGCGGCGGACGGGUGAGUAACACGUGGGCAACCUGCCCCUAAGAUCGGGAUAACUUCGGGAAACCGGAGCUAAUACCGGAUAUGAUUAUGUCUCACAUGAGACAUAAUGGAAAGACGGUUUCGGCUGUCACUUAGGGAUGGGCCCGCGGCGCAUUAGCUAGUUGGUGAGGUAACGGCUCACCAAGGCGACGAUGCGUAGCCGACCUGAGAGGGUGAUCGGCCACACUGGGACUGAGACACGGCCCAGACUCCUACGGGAGGCAGCAGUAGGGAAUCUUCCGCAAUGGACGAAAGUCUGACGGAGCAACGCCGCGUGAGUGAAGAAGGUUUUCGGAUCGUAAAACUCUGUUGUUAGGGAAGAACAAGUACCAUAGUAACUGAUGGUACCUUGACGGUACCUAACCAGAAAGCCACGGCUAACUACGUGCCAGCCGCCGCAGUAAUAC